UGAGGAGAGAAGAGUGAAUGGAAACAGCAAAAGCAAGUCAAUGUGUGGGUGUGUCUUCUCAGAGUUAAGUUGGGUCAUCUCCUGCGGCUUCCCUGUAUGCUCGGGGAAACCCUCUGAAGUUGUGUGUGUGGGUACUUAAACUGUGGGUACUGCUGUGGUGCCUGUCUGUGUGCUCUUAUCUGCAGGUUGUGGAGAUGCAGAAGGCCCCUUUCUGCUUGGUUCUUCGGGUGAUGCAGAUAACUUACUUGAAGAAGCUUCUUGUGGUGACCUGCCUGAACGCUCUGAGAUCUCUGACCUUCCCUCCUGAGAAUAUGAUGGAGACGAAUAGCCGUACGUUCCUCCCCCUUCUCUCAGGAAAGCAGAAGUGGAAGGCUGUGGUUCAGCUUCAUGUCUUCCCUGAGAACUAGUGGGCUGUUGCGAAACAGUUUUAUGGGGGCAGUUAGCCACCAUGUGCAUGAUGCUCUGACAGUAAUGGCACUUCUUUGGCUGUGGAGGUAGGCUGCAUUCUUUAGCGUGGUGAUCAAGGCCACCACAGUUGUAGCAUCUAAAAAUGAAAAGAGACAGCUGGUUAUAAAAUGUAGCAUCAGACUGUAAGAUUUUCUGUGUGUCAGAAGCUGACUGUGCACUUGGUCUGUUGGUGAGACAGCAGGAGCUUCUGCGACAAUAUCCCAUUGCCACAGACAAAUAUAUAUGUGAGUUUUGCUUUUUAAGUAAUGCACCUGGAAUGUGCCCCUACGUCACACCUGGUGCCAAAAAAUACCUCUUACUUAGGAAUAGAUUCUGUUACUAUCAUCCUCAUCAGUAUCUUGCUACAAAAACCCUUGGUACUGCUUGAAAGUAAAGACCACUCUGAAACAGAUCCUCACACGUUUUCAGCGGGACCUUUCUACUGACUGCCAAGAGCCAAAUCGGAAGCAUUUGCAGAUGUAGGCAGGUGCCUAACCACGCUUUCGUGACAGCCUUUGGGAUGCCUCACUGCCCUCAGCAGUAAGACGAGCCUGUGCAGCAUCGGGACAAUGCUGCGAGGGUCCCACCAGUCACCAGCACCAUACAACUACAUCAGAAAACCCCGCUGCACUGGGAUUUCCACCAAUUCCACAAUGCCAGGAGGCUAAAAUUUUCAAUAUAAAACCUCUCAAAACAGACAGAAAACCCCCAACCACCCCUACCCUGCUGGCUCUCCCCAAAGGAGGGAUGAUGCUGGGGUUCAGCCAGCCUCGGCCCCGCUAGAGGGCACCAAAUAUUCACAGAUCCCGACGCCGCUGCCCUGGCAAGCAUCGCUUCUUGCUCAAGUAUUUAUAGCAUUAAACCCCCGUGGGCGCUAGUAUUUCAAAUGCCUGGCAGGACUAACAUUUCAAAGCCGGGUGGGGAGGAGGCAGCCGCCAGGGCCGACCUCUUCAGCCAGGGGUGGGCUUCACCCUGUGAGUCGCUGGGUUGAGGCCGUAAAGAAACGCGUAGGGAGAAGAGAUUUGGCUUUCCCUAAGGAAGUUGCCUCGGACUUCACCACGUCUUCAAGUGCUCCAAAAAGCUCUUUGGGCACGUAAAAGAUCUCGCCCAGAAA